UCUACAUAGUGGGACUGACAGUGUAGCAGUUAAGGAGUUGAUGUGGGACCCAUUGUAUCCAAGGUAAAUUUCACCUACAUCUCAUUUAGGAACAGUUCUCUCAACUCUGUCCAUCUCACGGAAUGGUUGGGGCAGGAAUCUGCAAUUUCCUGUCGGGUUCGCCUUCAUUUUCCCAUGUUUCAAGCAAGUUGCAAGCUAACUGUUGGGAAUCUCUCUUCCAAAGGUUCACUCUAGCACACCUGAACCUUCAUCCUGAAGAGAGAAGAGGCAUUUAGCUGAGGAUCUAGCUGCCAUGGGGAGCUGAGAGGAAAAUCAGCCUGAGAUGUAGAUUCUGUAACUGCAUCCAGGGCCAAAAUGAUGGUGAUGCUGGAAUCAAGUAAAGAAAAGAAAAUGAAUACCCCUUUGAGUAACCAGCCACAGGAAGGUGCAUCUCUCUGCCUGAAGAACUUCCCUUGGAGAAAGAUUUAGAACUCCUUAAAAUAGUACGAAUUAGUCAUGAUUCGCUCCGGGAGACUGGAUUCGGUCAUUCUGAAAUCAUUGUUAGAAAGAAAAAAAGGAGGUAUUGCUGUGUAAAAGAUGCCAGAGGAAAAAAUGGUCCCUAAACAGACAGAUAAACCCUACAUAAGCAAGCAAGCAAGAAUGCUCCAAAACCGGAAAAAUUUAAUGUUGCUGGCUGAAUGUUUAACUUCAACAUGCAUUUUUCUGGCGUGGAAAUGGCACUGCAUUGUACUUCUCUACUAAUUCUGGAGUUCAGAGUGAGAACAGCUGUCUGAGUCAGCCACUCUUUAAAGUAGAUCGCUCCAUCCGACGAAGGUGUUUCCUUUCGUGUUGGAAAGGAAAAUUUCAAAACACAGGCCUGAUAUUAAAA